UACGUAGGGUGCAAGCGUUGUCCGGAAUUAUUGGGCGUAAAGAGCUCGUAGGCGGUUUGUCGCGUCUGCUGUGAAAUCUGGGGGCUCAACCCCCAGCCUGCAGUGGGUACGGGCAGACUAGAGUGCGGUAGGGGAGAUUGGAAUUCCUGGUGUAGCGGUGGAAUGCGCAGAUAUCUGGAGGAACACCGGUGGCGAAGGCGGCAUCCUGGACCGGUAUUGACGCUGAGGAGCGAAAGCCAGGGAGGCAAACGGG
rnacentral:rRNA from 1 species